UACGUAGGUCCCGAGCGUUGUCCGGAUUUAUUGGGCGUAAAGCGAGCGCAGGUGGUUUAUUAAGUCUGGUGUAAAAGGCAGUGGCUCAACCAUUGUAUGCAUUGGAAACUGGUAGACUUGAGUGCAGGAGAGGAGAGUGGAAUUCCAUGUGUAGCGGUGAAAUGCGUAGAUAUAUGGAGGAACACCGGUGGCGAAAGCGGCUCUCUGGCCUGUAACUGACACUGAGGCUCCAAAGCGUGGGGAGCAAACAGG
rnacentral:rRNA from 1 species